UACGUAGGGAGCAAGCGUUGUCCGGAAUCAUUGGGCGUAAAGAGCGUGUAGGCGGCCAGGUAGGUGGGUUGUGAAAACUGGAGGCUCAACCUUCAGACGUCGACCCAAACCCCCUGGCUAGAGUCCGGAAGAGGAGAGUGGAAUUCCUGGUGUAGCGGUGAAAUGCGCAGAUAUCAGGAAGAACACCCGUGGCGAAGGCGGCUCUCUGGGACGGUACUGACGCUGAGACGCGAAAGCGUGGGGAGCGAACAGG
rnacentral:rRNA from 1 species